GACAAACGCUGGCGGCAUGCCUAACACAUGCAAGUCGAACGGACAGAACAGGGAAGCUUUUCGGAGUGGAACUGGAAAGUUAGUGGCGGAUGGGUGAGUAACGCGUGGACAACCUACCUUGUAAAGGGGAAUAACCUCGAGAAAUCGAAGCUAAUACCCCAUAAUAACCUUGCUUCGCAUGAAGUAAGGAGGAAAGGCGGCCUUAGCGCUGUCGAUACAAGAUGGGUCCGCGUCUGAUUAGCUAGUUGGUGAGGUAAAGGCUCACCAAGGCGACGAUCAGUAGCCGGACUGAGAGGGUGAACGGCCACAUUGGGACUGAGACACGGCCCAAACGCCUACGGGAGGCAGCAGUGGGGAAUCUUCCGCAAUGGGCGAAAGCCUGACGGAGCAAUGCCGCGUGAGUGAAGAAGGCCUUCGGGUUGUAAAACUCUGUCCUUAUCGAAGAGAGAGUGUUGUAGUAACUGACAAUACUAGGACGGUAGAUGAGGAGGAAGCCCCGGCUAACUAUGUG
rnacentral:rRNA from 1 species